rnacentral:rRNA from 1 species
CCCGAAUUGGAAGGAGCUAUUUAGGGGUAUAUUUUACUGUGGAAUAAUCAUUUAAAACUUUUAAAUAGUAAUGAAACGUUAUUCGUCUUUCAAAAUAUCUGGUUUCUUGAGAAAUAAGUUCAAUUUUCUGAUUAAAUUAAACGUCUAUUUUUUGUUUAUAGAUUUUAUUUAAUUAGUAUGUUUAACGGGAAAAGCUUUUAAACAGAUUUUAUUGAAUUAAAGUUCCUAAUUAAGUAAGUAGGGUUAGAAUUUCCCAUCUUUUAUAGUAUGUUAUAAUUACCUUAAUUUUUAGAAUGAUUUAUUUAAUUUAUGGGGUUUUAUUAAGAAUUUUUAUUUAACAGAAAUUUAUAAGGUAUAAUGAUUUAAUUAGUAAAAAUAAUUUUAUUAAUAAUUGGGAAUUAUAAGGUUAAUAUAAGGAACUCGGCAAAUAUAUUUCUUGCCUGUUUAAUAAAAACAUGUCCUUUUGUAUAUUAAUUUAAGGUCUAGCCUGCCCACUGAGGGUUAAAUGGCUGCGGUAUUUUGACCGUACAAAGGUAGCAUAAUCAUUAGUUUCUUAAUUAGGAGCUUGUAUGAACGGCUGGACAAGGAAAUAUCUGUCUCAUAUUAAUUUUAGUUUGAAUUUUAUCUUUAAGUUAAAAAGCUUAAAUUUUCCUGAAAGACGAGAAGACCCUAUAGAGUUUUACAUAUUAAAAUUAUUAAGUAGUUGGGAAUAUUCUCUUUAAAUUUAUCAUAUGUUUUGUUGGGGUGACAGGAAAAUUUCAUUAACUUUUCUUUUUUUAUUACAUUGAUUUAUGGGCGUGUGAUCCGAGAAUUUCGAUUAAAAGAUUAAAUUACCUUAGGGAUAACAGCGUAAUUUCUUUUGAGAGUUCUUAUCGAAAUAGGAGUUUGCGACCUCGAUGUUGGAUUAAAAUUUACUGUUGGUGUAGAAGCUAACAAGUUUAGGUCUGUUCGACCUUUAAAAUUUUACAUGAUCUGAGUUUAGACCGGUGUGAGCCAGGUUGGUUUCUAUCUUUAGAUGCUGUUAAUUCCUUAGUACGAAAGGACCGGGGAUU